rnacentral:rRNA from 1 species
GUAGGUGGCAAGCGUUGUCCGGAAUUAUUGGGCGUAAAGCGCGCGCAGGCGGUCCUUUAAGUCUGAUGUGAAAGCCCACGGGCUCAACCGUGGAGGGUCAUUGGAAACUGGGGGACUUGAGUACAGAAGAGGAAAGCGGAAUUCCAAGUGUAGCGGUGAAAUGCGUAGAGAUUUGGAGGAACACCAGUGGCGAAGGCGGCUUUCUGGUCUGUAACUGACGCUGAGGCGCGAAAGCGUGGGGAGCAAACAGGAUUAGAUACCCUGGUAGUCCACGCCGUAAACGAUGAGUGCUAAGUGUCAGGGGGUUUCCGCCCCUUAGUGCUGCAGCUAACGCAUUAAGCACUCCGCCUGGGGAGUACGGCCGCAGGGCUG